GGUGAGCGCUGCUCUCUAAAGGCCAUGUGAGAGCCUGCCUUGUUCUCCAGAGUCAUUGCGGUCUCUGGCCCAGCUGGACCAGUCCAGCUCAGUGCAGGUCAAACUGCAGGGCAGAGCAGCAAUGCCAGGGGGGCACUUGCAUUGAAUUCCACAUCUCUCAAGCAAAUUUUGGCUCACGCUUCUGGGUCUUUGGUGGGAAUCCUUCUGAACAUCUCUCGAAAGCACACUCAGAGAGGGGCUGUUACAGACCGAUGGGGCAGAGCUCAAAGCAGAGCAUUUCCUGGCUUUUCCUUCUCUUGAAAGGCCAGUCCGGGGUUAUUUGAGGGGUUUCUGUGCCAUCCCAACCUCCCACAUGUGCUGGGGUGGCUGCCCAGCCCUCAAAGCAAGCUUUUGCUCGCCUGGGCAUUGGCGCAAGGUCAGCAUCCCCUGGCAUGGAGGGAGCCUGCCCAGGGAAGCAUGAAGCAAGACAGGCUGUCUGGGGCUGUUCCCAGGGAUGCAUCUAGGAAUGUACUGGGUCACAUUGAAAGAUGUGACACUAACACUGCACUGUGGGUUCCCCCCAAGCCUCACAGCCUCAUCAGCAACAUCUUCAAGCUGGAUCCUGUCGAGAUGAGCAUUCCUGGCUUAUCCCACGCCUUUGCUACAGUGACCUUCACUCCAGAACAAAAGGAGGACUACCAGUGCACUUUCACAGCUUCCCUUGUUAGCCCAAAAAGCCAGAGGAUUUGCCACGUCUCAUCUGGUGCCUCGUUAUUUAUCUGCUGUACGGCAUGAUUCAAAUGAGGGAAAUUAUUUAGAACUGUUAUUCUGGAAGGCUCUGGCUGAAAUGGUUUCUGUGCCCACCAGUUCUGCCCUCCCAACAGCGAAACCAGUCCCGCCAGCCAACGGGACUGGUCAAUGCAACAGGAGCCACUGGGAGGGACUGGGAGGGACUGGGUGUCAUUAUCUAGUUAACUAAACCAAGUCCCUUCACUAUGAACCUUAGACAAGGUAAAAGGGAGGUAACUUGGUUUAUGUCUUUACAGGGGCCCAAUUAAGUUUUACGAUUUCUUUUUCUUUUCUCUCUCCGGGUUGUGUUGACCUCAGGCUGUUUUCUUUUUAUGGACCUCAAAUCGUUCUCCCUUUUACCUUGUCUAAAAUUUAUAGUGAAGGGACUUGGUUUAGUUAACUAGAUAAUGACACCUUUCUGCAAAGUUGAUAACUGUGCAGAUAACAAGCACCCAUCUGGCAGUGUCUGACCUGACAAUGGGUAAUGUUUUUGCUGCUCUGUAAGGAAUGUAUAUAUUCAUAGAGAGAAUAAAUAGAGAACAACUGUCUCCUUUCAACCCCUCCCUGAUCCCCCAGCGCUGAAUUUGCUUUUCUCAGAUAAUAAAUUCUGGUUGGAAACCAC